UGGACGAAAGUCUGACGGAGCAACGCCGCGUGAGUGAAGAAGGUUUUCGGAUCGUAAAACUCUGUUUUCAGGGACGAAUGUGUGGAUUGUAAAUAAUGAUCCAUAAUGACGGUACCUGACAAGAAGGCCACGGCUAACUACGUGCCAGCAGCCGCGGUAAUACGUAGGUGGCAAGCGUUGUCCGGAAUUAUUGGGCGUAAAGCGCGCGCAGGUGGGAUAAUCAGUCUGAUGUUAAAGUUCGGGGCUUAACCCCGUGAAGCAUUGGAUACUGUUAUUCUUGAGUGCAGGAGAGGAAAGUGGAAUUCCUAGUGUAGCGGUGAAAUGCGUAGAUAUUAGGAGGAACACCAGUGGCGAAGGCGACUUUCUGGACUGUGUCUGACACUGAGGCGCGAAAGCCAGGGUAGUGAACGGGAUUAGAUACCCCGGUAAUCCUGGCCGUAAACGAUGGGUACUAGGUGUUGGGGGUAUCGACCCCUCCAGUGCCGGAGUUAACGCAAUAAGUACCCCGCCUGGGGAGUACGG
rnacentral:rRNA from 1 species